rnacentral:lncRNA from 1 species
AACUAGGAUGGAGACUUGCAGCAGUGGAAAGGUCAUAAGUCUUAGGAGCCAGAAAUCCCAGAUUCUGGUUUUGGCUGAGCUGCUAAUUAACCCUGUCACUUUAGGCAAACUGCUUCACCUAUGAUGCCUCAGUUUCCUUUUCUGUAAAAAUGAAGAGGCUAGACCCAAUGGAAAGUCCCUCAUAAAACAUCGCGAUGAAUGUGAAACUCGAAUAAUUCCUUGUCUCCUUAUUCAAAAAAAAACUGGAACAAGUUCUUUGAGCUAAAAUUUCACAGUGAACUAAAUACAAAUUGGGUAUAGACAUCAAGAAAAAGGAUGCGAUUUUGAAAAUACAGAUAUUUAGGAGUUUGCUUGGUGGCUCAGCGGUAAUGAACCCAGCUCAUGUCCAUGAGGACACGGGUUCAAUCCCUGGCCUCGAUUGGUGGGUUAAGAAUCUGGCAUUGCCGUGAGCUAUGGUGCAGGUUGCAGACACGGCUCGGAUCCCGUGUUGCUGUGGCUGUAGUGUAGGCUGGCAGCAACAGCUCCAAUUGGACCCCUAGCCUGGGAAUUUCCAUAUGCUGCAGGUGAGGCCCUAAAAAUACAAAAAAAAAAAAAGAUGUUUAGCUGUAGAAUUGUGAACUAUGAAUAGCAAGAAGAGUUUUUUGCUGAAGAAAUACUGAGACAAUGAAAAUAAAAUCUUAGACAUCGUGAAGGCUUUUUAGUCUCUUGCCAGCCUAGAAAAAACAAAUCCAGGCAGUUCAAUAACAUAAUCUGGAUUGUCCAGUCACACUUGGGUUUCUGGUUUUGACUCGGAAUAUCAAAAUCAUAAAAACACAGAACUUGAUCUUAGUUUCGAUCAUGAUUUCCUGGGGAGCUAGGGCCAUGCUGGUUCUCUGUGCUUCACCAUUUAAUUAGCCUGAUCAAAACCAUCUGCUGGACGGAUUAAGGCUUCCUUGAUGAGGCCCUUCACCCCCUAGACCUGCCAUCUCUUUCUGGCCAGGGCCAUACCAACACCCACAAGCUGGCUCCCCACCUUCCUGCCAAGGACUGGAUACCGUGCCCCAUUUCCCAUGGCCCUCCCCCUGCCACCCCGUCCUCUUUGAUCACCAACAGCUCAACUUGGUAAGUGCCUGUUGCACUUCAAGAGCAGCUCUGAAGCCACUCCAUCAGAGCCCUCUGCCCCCAGCAGCGUGGUCCUGCCCUAUUGCAUCCGUGUGUUGACACAGCUGUCUCCGCUCUGACUGCGCAGGAGCUGAGGCUCGGGGAUGCCUUGUCACAUCUGCAGCCCCCGGAUCCUGCAAGGCAAUGAAGGGAAAGAGAGAAUGGACAGAGGGAGGAGCCAGGCACUAAAUGAGGUGCCAAGGAUACAUCAAUGAUCGUCCCUCCAUCAUCCCCGAGGCUCCACCUUCCUGAGAGAUGUACCAUAUAAAGUGUUCUUGUAUGAUAACCACCAAAAUCUGGUCUAAAUCAUCUUAUUCCUAAUGAGGGAAGGAAUAUACUGAAGCCUGAGAAAGUCUGAGAAAACUUCCUAUAUAAAGAGGAAGGGUGUGUGUGUGUGGGUGUGUGUGUACGCAGACAAUAGGAAGCCACUGAUGUUUUUUGCACAAAGGAACAGCAGGAAUGAAAAAAUGUUUUAAGAAGAUUAUCUAGCAGUGGUAUACAAAUUCACUGAAAUGGUGUACAGAUUAAAGUAAAAAUUAUUUCAAAUCAUUAUGCAGCCAUGAACAAUUAUUACACAUAAUUGCAUUUACAGAUGUGGGAGAGCGAACAUACAGAUGAAGUACAAAAGAAGCAGGCUACAAAACAAGGGAGAGGACAGAAUCAUCUUCUGUAAGAAAUUGUUCACAUUUUUACUUGUGGGAGUAUUUAGAUGUGUAGCUACCAGAGUAAAGUUUAGGAGAUUAAAUAUCAGAGCUGUAACAGGAAUGCUAUCUGAGUGGAGAAACGUGAUUUUUCUCUUCUUUCUGUCUCUUUGUUUAUAUCUGUAUUUUCUAAUUUUUAUUCCACCAUGAAUAUGAGCCACUUGGGUAAUUUUUGUAAAUCUCCUCCCAAGAAGUAAAGAGCCCAUUUAUUGAUAUUAAAGAGGACAGGAAGCGGUGGUGAGGAUCUGGCCGCUGGCAGUGGCAGUGAGAGUGGAAAAUAGGAAGCAGAGUUGAGAGCAAUUAUGGCGGAAGUGCUGACGGAAGCGGGUGGGUGACUGGGAGAGGAACUGAAGGGAAACCAGAAAUCUGGGUGACACCCCUGGAUUUCCAGCCUAAGUAAGCAGGCGCCAUGGCUAGAAAUGAGACGGUGUGGAUGGCACUUAGCUUGGAGGAGAUCAUUUCCUCUUAGACCUGGUGUGUUUGCGAUGGUGACAGUCAUCCAAGAGAGACUGAAGUCAAGGGAAAGCCUGGGGCUCCAGGAGGCUGUGGGUUUAGGACUCACCCUCACACCCAGGUCAGGUCAGGUGCCCCCUGUGGGUUCCCAUGGCCUCCGUGUCCCUUCCCGAGGGAUGGCUUCCUGACCAUAGUGACAUGAAGUGUCCACAACC